GUACGUGCGGGGAGGUGGAGAGGUGGGGAGGUGGGCAGCGGACUAAACCAAGUUCGCCGUGCCAGCUCUUGCUUCGCGGUCUUCCUUCCCCGCAGCCGCCCCUCCUCUCCGGUCUUUGCGCCCCGGGGACGCGCCAGCCGGGCUUGGGCUCCCCGCGCGCACAGGCGGUCCGGAGGGUGGAGUCGGCCCGCGGUAGCCGCGUCUCCUCGGCGGGCAAAAGGCGGGGCAUGCAGAUUAGAAGCGGCUGUUCAGCGCGAGAACGACGGAGCAACCAGGGAUCCAGAAUUUCCCGUUAAAACUGUAGAGAAUGAAAAAUCUGCACAAGAGCCGACUGCCUAGCGAUUCCCACGGUGCUGUCAAAGGAGCAAAGGAAGGGAGACCCGGACUGAGCGGGCGGCGACUCGCCGUGAGCUGAAGGUUUUGAAGGUCUAAAUACGUGAAUCCGGCGACAUCCUCCAAAUGCCAUGAACUGCUCAUGGACCGUCAGGCCCAGCCCCGUGAAAUACUGCUUCCCGAUUGCAAAUGCAUCACUGAUAGGUUCUAGCUUAUCCCUACUUCUGGUUCUUCUUGCACUUACAUGGUCAAAACACAAUCGUCGAAGAAAUUUUUUAAACCCUUGGUCGCUCAUAAUUUUGUCAAAUUGCAAAUUCUGGACUUUGGGAAAAUUCAUCUAGGAUAUUGCCAUUUGAAGACGUGCAGCCUGAGAUUUCACUUAUAUAUAAUCCCCGUCACCACCCUCAUUAGAGUCCAGUCCUUUGCUUUCAUCUUCUGAUUCGUCUAAUAGUCUAAUAAUUCAUCUGCUAGAAACACGCUCCUCUGUCAGUUUUCUUUCCUUUGCCAUUAUGGCCGGGGGUGGGGCAGAUUUCCGAAUUCUCGGCUGUGUUCAGAGAAAGCAAAAAUCAGACUACAAAGAGCUGUCUCCCAUCUGCUUGUUUCCUUCCUGAAAGAGGAUUUGAUCGAUACCUUUUCUUAGCGACACAAGAAGAAAACUGAAGGAUCACGCCAUAGGGACGACUCGCUCCACUGUUGCAUCAAUCCUGUAAGGGACUCCUUCAUUCCUCCAUUUCGUUAGUCUUGUAGACUUUUCCGUCAUAGUUGGGGGUUGGUGAAUAGCUGCAGAAAAAAAAUAUUCCUAGGAUGAUGAAACAGUAAAUUUUUUCAAGAGAGAGGGAAACUAAGAUCGCUAAGAUCCUGUGAUGCAUCUUAGAUUUUGUGAGAGACAAAAGCAGCCCCGGAAGCUGGCCUGCCACCCACAGCUAGGCCGUGGUGGUCUCCCGGUGAAUGUAAACGAUCUCACAGAACGUCACCGUCAGACAAGGCCGCUAUGUGACCGUGAUGGAUCAAGGCAGAAAUAAGACCACUCCGUAGUCACGUCCGAACUCAGACAAAGAAGAAGAAUAUAGUGUCCAAAUGAGAAAAUUCACCAAACACCGCCCCCCCCCCCCAUCCUCGAUGCUCUAAUAUGGGUAACUGCUGCUACGUUACCAGUUACAGCUUUGGCUAUGGCCCUAUUCUUCCCUCCUUCUGGGUAAGAUUUAUUCAGCUACCCAGUCACAGAAUUACCCCCAACUUCCUGAGAACAUCUGUAGGGGAGGAAAAAAGUCUUUCCCCUUCUACCCUUCUAUGUUCUCCACGGUUAGGGCUUUGUAACAAAAGACAGAUCAAUGAGAGAAAAAUAAACAGAAGUUUAUUAGCAUGUGUAUCUCAUAUAUACGUGGGAGCAACUCAGGGAUGAGUAACUCAAAGGGGUGGGUAGAACUUGGGCUUAUAUAGCUGAUAAAAGAAAGAGAAAAGAACGAGGCCAGAGUCGACGUGAUGAUUACCAUGACCGCCUCAAGGCUGAACUAUGGGCAAAAAUAAAAAACUACAUUUUAACCUUCACUGUCACCAGAUGGCCGGAGAACAACUCGGUAGUAUUUCCCUGCAGUUAGAACAUUUAGAAAGCCCCGGACACAAGAUAAACUGUAGCUGGAAAGGGUGACCAAUCAGAACUGGACUCAGCCUUAACCUUGCGUACUCUGCACCUUUUACCUUUAAAACCUGGCCACCCCAAGACCGAGGCAGCACAGGUGUUAGCUCAGGGCUAAUCUUCCUCAGCAAAAAAUAAAAAAUUAAAGAUAAUUGUAUUUCCAACUUGGGGCAUGCCUUCCACAGUCUCCAGUGAUCAAGGCACCUGCGUCACUGAGCAAACCGUGCAAGCUUUAAUGAAAAUCCUUUAAACUUCUUGGACUUUUAAACUUCUUGGCUCCUAUCAUCCUCAAUCAUCAGGCAAAGUUAAGAAAGUUAAUGGAAAAACUGGAUUCAAGCAGAAGAAAUCUUAAACUGCAUGGGACUAUGUGAAUUGAGGAAGACGUUCUAAUGUUUUGCUUUUCCAGAUUUAAAGAAAUCUUUUCUCUUAAGCUAAAUAUGACUUAUAGCAAUUUGUAAGCAGAAUUGAAGCGUUGAUCUUUUUCUCCCUACCUGAUCCCUCCAGAAUUUGGAAACUCUUGAUAAGUGAGUGUUCUUAUUUUUCAUGGCAAUAUGAUUGUUUGCAUAAGUUCGAAUAGAAUCUGUUCUCCUGAUAGCAGGACACGGCUGGAAACACUGGUUAUAUUACCAAGGCUUUGACUGGAAUGUCAUGUUAAACAAACAAACAAGAAACCCCCAAAACAUGCAUAGACUCGGAUAUGACCAAACAGCUUUAAGGAACAAGGAUUGACUUUAUGGAACAAAUAAAGCCACUUGGAAAUA